rnacentral:misc_RNA from 1 species
UGGCUUGACCUUGUAGAUCCAUCUACAACAAACAAUUUCUUUAAAGGAAACUUGAGGGAGGAAGCAAGUGCCUCAAUUUUCUCCCUGAGAUCUCCUUCUGGAAGAGGAGUGAACUUAUUAAAAAGUGGGGCUAUCAAAACCGGAUAGAGUGUCAUCAUCACAAGAGAGAGAACAAACAUAAAUGCCCAAAGAUAAAUGGCCAAGUAAGGACCUCCUUUCUGUACUAUUAAAAUGAUUGCUGAAACAAUAGGUGGGCCAAGUGCAAUAGCAAGGCAAAUUCCCUUGAACAAGUCCCUAAUGAAUAGCCAUAUUGUUUGUUUAUUGAAACCAUGACGGGCCUCGAUCACAAAGGUUGAAUAGAGAGAAAAUGGCAAAUCAGUGAUCUGUGACCAUAUCAUAACACCAGCCAAAAAAGCAAGGGUGUGUAGUAUUUCAUUCUCCGCAUUGAGACCAGUUAAAAGUAGAAAGUUUCCUGAUUUCUUCCAAAACCAAGGCAAUAUCCCAAAAUAUAAAAUGGCAGAGUCCAGCAGUAUAGUCACAAAUUCAUGAACAAAAUUGAAGUGGCUCUUAUCAAGACUAUAAGCUCGAGAUUUUCCAAACUUCUCUUGGCUGAUUACUCCUACUAGAGGUUUGGGAAGAGUUGGCAGUUUCAGUGCAGAAUGUUGUCUUAAAUCCAAAUACGUUUCAAAAACAUACAUCAGCACCAUAAAACCAAGUACAGCUUCCAUGUAAGGAAACGCCAUGGCGGAAUCGAAGGUUGCAGACUCGAGUGAAAUGAUAAAA